rnacentral:rRNA from 1 species
GAUGAACGCUGGCGGCGUGCCUAAUACAUGCAAGUCGAGCGAACAGACGAGGAGCUUGCUUCUCUGACGUUAGCGGCGGACGGGUGAGUAACACGUGGAUAACCUACCUAUAAGACUGGGAUAACUUCGGGAAACCGGAGCUAAUACCGGAUAAUAUAUUGAACCGCAUGGUUCAAUAGUGAAAGACGGUUUUGCUGUCACUUAUAGAUGGAUCCGCGCUGCAUUAGCUAGUUGGUAAGGUAACGGCUUACCAAGGCAACGAUGCGUAGCCGACCUGAGAGGGUGGUCCGCCAACCCGGAACUGAGGCCAGGUCCCGGCCCCUAAGGGGGGGCACAGGAGGGAAUCCUUCGGAAUGGGCCGAAGCUCGAAGGAGGAAACGCGGCGUGAGGAAGAAGGGUCUUCGAUUCUUAAACCUUUUUAAUUGGGAAAAACAAAAGUGUAAGGAACUAGGCACGACUUGAACGUACCUAAUCAAGAAGGCACGGCUAACUUCGUG